ensembl:snRNA U4 U4 spliceosomal RNA
AGCUUUGCACAGUGGCAGUAUCAUAGCCAAUGAGGUUUAUCUGAGGCGCGAUUAUUGCUAAUUGAUUUUGACAUUGCUGGAAUUUAUUUUCCACUUGCAAAUAUUUUAGGAUUCUGACUAGGU